UACAGAGGGGGCGAGCGUUUGUUCGGAAUUACUGGGCGUAAAGGGCGCGUAGGCGGCCCGCUAAGUCGAACGUGAAAUCCCCCAGGCUCAACCUGGGAACUGCGUCCGAUACUGGUAGGCUUGAAUCCGGGAGAGGGAUGUGGAAUUCCAGGUGUAGCGGUGAAAUGCGUAGAUAUCUGGAGGAACACCGGUGGCGAAGGCGGCAUCCUGGACCGGUAUUGACGCUGAGGCGCGAAAGCUAGGGGAGCAAACGGG
rnacentral:rRNA from 1 species